AAAGCAUGCUUGCCCUAAAACCUAGUAGGUAGGGUAGAUAAAUAAAUCACACAUACAGUGUAUAGUCACCAGAGGCUUAAGGUAACCUACAAGCUGGACGAUCAGCUAGCUUAUCGUCCACAGAGCUGGUUAGUUACCUCAGGAGGUGCUGGCCAGAAGUAAAAGAAAGGUGUGUAGUCACAGGGCACAGCUAAGGCACGGAGUUUUGAGAGAAGGGCACAUCCUGGAGCUGCAAAUGUGUGAGUGCUGGGUUAGGAGGACGGAUCUUCAGAUGAGACUAAUGUAGAGGGGUCCACAUCAGGUGUUUAAGAUAGAAGUGCUAAUGAAUGGAAGAAAACAUUUUGUUGAAAAGAGAUACAGCGAAUUUCAUGCUUUGCACAAAAAGCUUAAGAAAUGUAUAAAAACUCCAGAAAUCCCUUCUAAACAUGUUAGGAACUGGGUCCCCAAAGUCUUGGAACAGCGACGACAAGGCUUGGAAACAUACUUACAGGCUGUCAUUUUAGAAAAUGAAGAACUUCCCAAACUGUUUCUUGAUUUCCUAAAUGUGCGACACUUGCCCUCUC
rnacentral:sRNA from 1 species